UACGAAGGGUGCAAGCGUUACUCGGAAUUACUGGGCGUAAAGCGUGCGUAGGUGGUUUGUUAAGUCUGAUGUGAAAGCCCUGGGCUCAACCUGGGAAUUGCAUUGGAUACUGGCAGGCUAGAGCGCGGUAGAGGAUGGCGGAAUUCCCGGUGUAGCAGUGAAAUGCGUAGAGAUCGGGAGGAACAUCUGUGGCGAAGGCGGGUCUCUGGACAGUUCCUGACACUGAGGCACGAAGGCCAGGGGAGCAAACGGG
rnacentral:rRNA from 1 species